rnacentral:lncRNA from 1 species
UGCUAGCAUUUUCCGGCUAAUCAGCCAGUUCUUUUGCUCCAAUUUGAUUAUGGGUGUGUUUAAAAUUAAAUUCUGAGCAAAUAGUAAAAUUUUUACCUCGUUUGGCGGUCAACAAUUGUUCUGGUGCGACGGCGGGUGGCAGUGGUCAGCUUCCCUGCGGCUGGGCUAUCGUCUCUGGUGAGGGGUUCUGGCGGCUAGGGUUAAGGUUUGGGUGUGGAUGAUGUUAUUUAUACCCAUUUGCUUUUGAUCUGGGCUGUUCAUCGCGAUUUAAUCUGAGCCGUCCGUGUGCGAUUCAGUCUGAGCUGUCUGUGCGCGAUUCCAAUCUGGGCCGUCCUUGC